GUGGAUUCUUUUCUCAGGUGCAUUAUACAUGUUUGCUUCAUGCAAGAUUAACAGACAGAACUCUGCGAGUUAUUUUUCUUUAAUAAGGCAAUAAUAAUGUAAAACUGAUUAUUACUGAGAAUGAAUCUUCUUCGUCUUCUUUGACAACAGUUUGUACGCUUCUUCUUUUGUUACUAGUCCUACAUGGCUUUAUCAGAGCCCUGAUCAAUCUCAAGUUGUAGACCAGUCUGGAGAGAAUGUACUCAAUUUAUUCCUCUAUUUUUCAACGACUAUAUGAAGCCCAUAGUGUUAAUACGAGUGAGAGCUUUGCUGCAGUUGAGACAAUCCCUCGGUUCCUGUUCUAGAGCAACAUCAAGACUAUAAUCGACAGCCACUCUAUUCUUCAGCUUCUUAUCAGAGCCAUUCUUCCCUACUAUUACUCAUGCACCACUUUAUUCCAGUUCUCAGCCUCAGGGUUAGACUUCCAGUACUCAUAGACAACUCUAUAAGAGCUUUGAAGGUUAGACUCGCAGUACUUUAUUUGAUAUUUUACACUGAAAAGUUUCAGUGAAGGAAGAAUGGGAGUUUCUCUGUGCUCGUUUUUCUAGUGAAAAGUUUCAGAUUCGUUCAGAGAAGAAUGCUAUAAAUAGGUCAAAGUUGACACAUCACCACAAAGCUGGGUCAAAGUCAUUUAUGUCUCACCAAGAGCAAAUUGCAGCACAGACUGGAGAGAUGCAAGGUGCAAUUGAUCGCUUUGAAACAGAGUACAAAAGCACUAAAAAAGGUUGGGAUUUGGGAGCAAAAGCAAAGUGAGAUGAAAUGAUUAAGAUGCGAACUGAGACAACUCAACCUGAUGGAACUCGGACAAUGACAGAUGAUGAAAUUUGUGCAAAAGUCCUCGGAGUCAAAUCAGGCUACAUCAAGGGUUGUGGUUUUGGCCCUAGACCUCCACCAUCAAGAGUCUCUCAUUCGUCGAUAAAUGAAAUGUCUGAAAAGAACAAAAUGUUGCAAGAACAGCUUCAAGAGACCUAACACC